CAAAAUUAUGAGAGUUGAAGGUAAGAGAGUGAAAUUACAAACCAUCUCAGGGAAACAGUUAGGAACCAUGUACAGUAUUGCACACUUAAAACCAGUAAAAGAGCCAACAACAUUAGCUGCUGAAAGCACAUCAGAGGGAAAAACUGGCACUGAAAUUGGAGUUGGUGACGCUGAACCAGAAACACCCACGGAAGAGAUUAGAGAAGUGGAUGGCACUGUAUCUCAUGACAGCAAAGUGGAAAACAUAGAGGUCACAGCAAUAGAAAAAGAGGAAUAUAUAGGGCAAGAUGUGUCAAACAAUGAUACAAGUGAUGCUGAUGACAGUUUUGAUGACAUGCUUACAGAGGAAUUGGAAGACAAGCAAUGGCUUCUGAAAGUAAAAUUGGUAAUGACCAGCAAACACACAGAGAGACUGGAGGCGAAAGUGAGAAACAUAAAAUUGUAUGGCUCUUCAUUUCAUUGCCUGAAACCAAGAAGCUGGAUAAGUGAUGAGGUACAUUUAAGUACCACUAAACAUGUAUUUGUUGAUGUGAUUGAUUACUCAAAUACCAUUGUAAUUGUGCUUUUCUUCCAUCAUGUGUUGUAGGUUAUUGAUGCAUUUUUGAGCUGUGUAGUUGAGAAAGCAGAUGGAAAGGUACAAGCCAUCUCAUCAGUAGUUUCCACUGUCAUUCUCUCAGGCAGAGCUACACAAGUGAAAGUGAAGAUAGCCUUGAUGAAAAAAAAGGAAUUGUUAAUAAUUGACCCAUUGUGUGAUGAGAUCAGAUAUGAAAGAACAUGCCUGAGGAAUUGGAGAAACUUCAUCAAACGAUUAACUAGUAAAUCCUCAUCUGAUUGGAACAGUAAAAUUAUGUAGCAUCCCAGACAAAGUGAUGGCCACAACUGUGGACCACUCAUCUUAAAGUUUGCAGAAACAUAUUUGCAGCACAAAGACAUCAGUACGGUGGAAACAACACAGAAGGCUAAUACUGCGUUUAGAAGACAUAUAGCAAUUCUUCUAAUGAAGGAGUCAGGUAAUUACUUUCUACCAUGUAUUGUGGACUCAUUAGGCACAUGUGAGGAUAACAUGAAGAGUGGAAUUUUGUCACAUAACAGACAGUUAUCUUAAUAACCCUAAAGUGGGAUAUCUCACAGGUUUGGUUCUGAAAUGGUGACUAUGAAUCAAUAAUAUCUUUAAGUACACAAAAAUUUGAAUGGGGUGAAUGAUUACUAUUGAUCGACCAGUUAAAUGAAACUUGAAUUUUUAGAUACAGGUGCAGUAAACUUAAAAUUGGAAAAAAAUAUUCCCAAAAAAGGAAGAGAUAUGUGUGUUCAAACCAUUGACUGGAUUACAAUAUUGACAAUUAAUACAUCAAGAUUAGCAUUUUCAGUGUUGGUCGUAACGUAUUCAUCAUUUCGUAAUGCUAUAUUUAUUUUUAAGAAAGCGUGGAGGACUACUGCAUAUACAGCAACCUUAUCGACUGUGAAAAAGAAAGUGAGGAUUGCACGAUGGUCCAGUGUGAUUCUUGCAAGAGGUGGGCACACAUACCAUGCAUUACAGAAGGAAUCAAUCAAGAAAACCUGACAUAUGAGAAGAAAGAGUAUAA